rnacentral:tRNA from 1 species
GCCCCUGUAGCUCAGCGGAUAGAGCAGCGGCCUCCGGAGCCGUGUGCGGCAGUUCGAGUCUGCCCAGGGGUA